UGGUGUUAAUGGCCUUACAUCAGCAAACAGCAAGUAUGUAAUGUGGAUCUCUCUUCCUUUGUGAGGAAAGAAUGGAUCAAAAUUACAAGGAAAAGUGCUUUGCGAGAGUUGGAGAUGAGAUAAAUACCCAAUCGUGGCCCAGGUGAGGGGGAUAGAAAUGGAGCAAUUGCAGCCGAAGAUUCACCUUGGAUUCACUUCCUGUGUGAAUUCUUUAGUGAAAGAACUGAUGGAAGAUCUCCAUUUCUACGUGGGAUCCUGGGUAGUCUGCCAUGAGCAAAGAGACAACAGAUAAGACUAAUUUAGCCAGCAGAUCUCCAGAUGGGGUGCUUAAGUUUGGAGACCACCUUUUUUCUGCCAUACUUGCAAGGAUCCUGUGAGCAGCCUCAAGUGUUAGGGCUACAGAUGGACAUUCUAAAUCCAGGGCAUUUUCAAACUCAACUAUUGAGAAACUGGUACUUGCCCCUGGGAUAUUAAGAAGGCUCAAUCCUGCCAUAUAUGACAACGUGGAUGAACCUGGAGGACUUUCUGAUGGGUGAAAUAAACCAGUCCCAGAAGGACAAAUACUGCAUGAUUCCACUUAUAAGAGACCCUGCGAUGUAAUAUUAAAAAGAUUCCUGAGCUCCAGCACAGAACAGAUUAGCCCUGAGCUAACAUCUGCUGCCAAUCCUCCUCUUUUUUGCUGAGGAAGACUGGCCCUGAGCUAACAUCCACGCCCAUCUUCCUCUACUUUCUAUGUGGGACACCUGCCGCAGCAUGGCUUGACA
rnacentral:lncRNA from 1 species